UAAAGGUCAUAGCCCUGGCUGAAAGUUGAAAGUAGGAUGAAGUGAUGCAGGAGAAAGUCAGAAGCUGUUACUGUGUGUUCCCAUCUAUUGACAGCUGCUGACAGUGACAACUUACCUCCAGCUAAGUGGGAAGAUGAGCAGCUGUUUGUAGAACCAAAGCCAGUCUUCUGCUUGGAUCUCUUCUGCCUGGAUCGUUUGGCUAUACCAUCUGUGAAAGAGGUGAAAUUCCAAGCAGAAAUCCUGGGGGAUAAGGACAGUUAAUGCUUCAUUCAAAUCACCUUAUUGAUGGGGAACAGAAAACUGAAAAGAAUUCAUCACCACGUGCCCAUCCUGGAACAACAGACACUGACCCCUUUGGAGGUGCCUGGCAUCUCUUGAAACUCUGCCUCUGGAGAAGUGAGGCCCAACUCAAGUGAGUAAGAGUUGGCACGGAGAAAAGAAUGUCUGAUUUCAGAAGGCUUAGCUUGUGUGUCCCAUUCAGUGGAACUGCCUAUAUAGGCAUAUCAGUAUGCCUGAGCGGCUGAGCACGGAGGAGAGCAACAGAACUCAGUAGGGAAUGGAGAGAAGGGAAUAGGGGAGGCCUAUGAUUCGGCAGCUUCAGUUGGUAAUCUUUGCUUCUGUUUACUAUGUGCCGAAAACAACUCCAAAUCCAAACAAUACUUUUGAAGUGAUGGGGUGCAAGCCAAGAGAAAUUGAAAGAUCUCUCUGCAGGAAAGUUCUCCCAAUGAGCCUGAAUAUCCUGAUUAACACUUGUUUUUGAAAUGUUAAUUAGUUCUACACUUAACAGCUUGUCAUUGUCUGAAAGGGCAUGGAGAAAACUUUACAAAGUUUGUAGACUGAGGAGUUUUUAACUCCUCCACACUAGGGUUUGGCAAAUUCUCCAUUGCAGGCCACUGAACCGUGAGCAUCCAAGGAUUAAUUAGCUGUGGUGAUUAGUGCAAGAACCCAAAUUACUUGUCAUCGACGCACAUUCCUGAGACAGAAAAAUAAAUAUUAUGUACAUUCUCAGUAAGAUUAGAUGUGGAAAAGUAACAUGGCCGUGUCACUAAUGUUGGAGACCUUAGGUGCUGUACUUUUUCUGAGACGUGAAUAGGUUUUGUAUGGCACUUGCAAUAUGGGAAAAUGUUUCCUGCGAUGUCUACUUUACAUGACAUAGCUUGUCUAUGCUAUUAAAUUGGUGCAUUCAGAGGAAAGCAGACAUUUUGUUCCUUAAGAGUUCAUCUUGUUGCUUUGUUCCUGACCUGAAGCUGCCUUACCCUUUGGAACACCAUAAUAGUUUCCAUAGCAACUUAUUGUGAUGUCAGAGAUCAUAGACACAAAACACAUGGAAAAUCAAAGGUUAUCCAGGCCAUUC